CCUACGGGUGGCAGCAGUGAGGAAUAUUGGUCAAUGGGCUUACGCCUGAACCAGCCAAGUCGCGUGAGGGAAGACUGCCCUAUGGGUUGUAAACCUCUUUUGUCAGGGAGCAACGCCGGCUACGUGUAGCCGGACUGAGAGUACCUGAAGAAAAAGCAUCGGCUAACUCCGUGCCAGCAGCCGCGGUAAUACGGAGGAUGCGAGCGUUAUCCGGAUUGAUUGGGUUUAAAGGGUGCGGAGGCGGAAUGCCAAGUCAGCGGUAAAAUCACGGGCCUCAACCUCGAUGCGCCGUUGGAGCUGGCGUUCUUGAGUGGGCGAGGAGUAUGCGGGAUGCGUGGUGUGGCGGUGAAAUGCAUAGAUAUCACGCAGAACUCCGAUUGCGAAGGCAGCAUACCAGCGCCCAUCUGACGCUGAAGCACGAAAGCGUGGGUAUCGAACAGGAUUAGAUACCCCUGGUAGUC
rnacentral:rRNA from 1 species